rnacentral:rRNA from 1 species
AUGAUACGCGAGGAACAUUACCCGGGCUCAAACGGGGAGUGCCGCAGGCAGAGACGCCUGUUUUCCCACGGGACACUCCCCGAGGUGCAGCAUGGUUGUCGUCAGCUCGUGCCGUGAGGUGUCGGCUUAAGUGCCAUAACGAGCGCAACCCCCGCGUGCAGUUGCUAACAGAUAACGCUGAGGACUCUGCACGGACUGCCGGCGCAAGCCGCGAGGAAGGCGGGGAUGACGUCAAAUCAGCACGGCCCUUACGUCCGGGGCGACACACGUGUUACAAUGGGUGGUACAGCGGGAAGCCAGGCGGCGACGCCGAGCGGAACCCGAAAUCCACUCUCAGUUCGGAUCGGAGUCUGCAACCCGACUCCGUGAAGCUGGAUUCGAUAGUAAUCGCGCAUCAGCCAUGGCGCGGUGAAUACG